UUUAUUUACGGUUUUGAUGUUAUUGCUUGUGAGUUGAUAUGAUACAUAUGAGACGAAUUUUUAUCAACAUAUUUUCAUUAUUAUGUUGUUAUUGUUUAUGAGUUGAUGCGGCACCUAUGAGGCGUGCAUGUUGUUUAUAAUGAAAAUAUUGAGAUAAAUUCAUUUGGGAAGAAAUAACAUAUUUUUGAAAAUUUAUGAAAAUAUGUGAUGUGAUGGGAAUGUGAUUGAACAUGUAAAACUAGACAUGUAAUAUGGGUUGGACUAACCUUGUCAUAAGAUAGCGGCCACGAGCUGAUGCGUGGGAUAGCCUCCACGGGCUUACGCGUGGGAUAGCCUGCCACGAGCUGAUGCGUGGGAUUUGUGCAGUCUUGGACUGGGACAUGAUCUUGGUUAGUCCAACGCCAGAAAUGAAAAAGUUUGAAAACUUUGGAAUUUGAGUUAUACGGGAAUGGAUCACAUAAUGUGAAAAAGGAUUUGUGAAUAUGUACUGAUUACAUAUAUUUGUUGUUUGUUGAGCUUUUGAAAUGAUGAAAUGAUAUAUAUAUUUUGAUACUUGAUUAUUUUAUGAUUUUAUUGUGUAUGGCUGUUGGGAUUCUUACUGGGCUGGAAAAGCUCAUACUACACUUCCAUUUUUUGUCAGAGGCACUGGAUUCGUAGAAUCUGUCGGAUGGGACAAGAAGUGAGCACGAUCUGGAGUCAGACUGCUAGAUAGUUAGAAGUCAAUUUAUCUUUUAUUUAUGGACAUUUGAAAUUAUGUAAUAAGUCAGUACAUUGUAGCUGGAUUUGAUUGAAUUACAUCAAUCUUUGAUUUUGGCAUUUAUGGAAUUAUUGGAAUUAUUGGAAUUGUUGUUUAUCUUAGGCCUUGCAUGAUCUUUAGGGCAUUGCUCUAGGGCUCAUGCGGCCGGUCGCGUGCCGGACCCGGGUGAUGGGUUUGGGGCGUGACAGGUGCGAACCAAGCCAUUCGCACCGAUACAAGCCAUGAACCGAUGGGUUUGGGUCGGAACCGAUUUCAAUAACCGUACCGUACCGGUGCCUGUCGGUACCAGUAUGUACGGG
rnacentral:lncRNA from 1 species